rnacentral:rRNA from 1 species
UACGUAGGGUGCAAGCGUUGUCCGGAAUUAUUGGGCGUAAAGAGCUCGUAGGCGGUUCGUCGCGUCGGCUGUGAAAACCCGGAGCUCAACUCCGGGCCUGCAGUCGAUACGGGCGGACUUGAGUGUUGCAGGGGAGACUGGAAUUCCUGGUGUAGCGGUGAAAUGCGCAGAUAUCAGGAGGAACACCGAUGGCGAAGGCAGUUCUCUGGGCCGUAACUGACGCUGAGGAGCGAAAGCGUGGGGAGCGAACAGG